UUCUGAGUCAGGAAAUCUGACCGUUUUCACUGGUUUUGGAUGAAUGAUUGUUUAAAGAUGAGUUUUAAUAUUAUGCCAAAAUGAUCUCUUACUAUUAAUUUGUAAUAGUUGUUCAAAUAGUUUUGCUCUACUGACUGUCUUUUACUCAGACUUGAAGCAGAAAUAUCCGUUUCUCUGUUUCUUUAACAAUCACGCAAUUUACUCCAAGAUUGUCCUGGAAUUUGCUUCAUUCAUCUUCCCCUUAACUCCUGCUUGAGUGUCUCUGCUGAAAAAUCAUCCACACAACAUGAUAAUCCCACCAAGGUCCCCUGAUGAGGUUACCCAUCCGUCACAGAGCAACACAAGACAAACACCCAUGAAUGCACUCACUCAUACCUUACAGAGAUCAACUGACCUAGCAGGUAUGUUUUUGGAUAGUGGAGCUGGAGAGAAGUCACGCCUGAAUAGAGAGAACAUUCGAACUCCAUGCACAAAGAGCCCCAGGCCUGGAUUUGAACCCAUGAUCUUCUUCCUGGAAGGCAAUAAUGCUGCAAACUGUGCUGCCUUGCAGUCCUACCUACAAAUUCCAA